rnacentral:rRNA from 1 species
UACGGAGGGGGGCUAGCGUUGUUCGGAAUUACUGGGCGUAAAGCGCACGUAGGCGGACUGUUAAGUCGGGGGGUGAAAUCCUGGGGCUCAACCUCAGAAUUGCCUCCGAUACUGGCAGUCUCGAGUGCGGGAGAGGUGAGUGGAAUUCCCAGUGUAGAGGUGAAAUUCGUAGAUAUUGGGAAGAACACCAGUGGGCGAAAGGCGGCUCCAGCUGGCCCGUAACUGACGCCUGAGGUGACGAAAGGCGUGGGGAGCGAAACAGGAUUGAGACGUACCCC